UCACUUUCUUGAACCCAUACAUAAGGAUCAAACACUUCCAUAUCAAAAAUAUGUUGUUUAUAUUCUAAAAACGUAAAUAAGUUUCAAGAUUCAUAGACCCUUUGUACCUUUCAUAACCAAGUCACAUAAACAAACACACACAUUAAUAUUGAAUAAAAAAAGGCUUACUUGGGUUUAUUUUCUUGAAUUUGCUUCUAGUUCCUGGACAAUAAACCAAAGGUGAAAAGAUAACAAAAUAUGAGCUUUUUCUUCCUCUUUUUUCGCUGAAAACCUACCCCAGGUGGCCAACUUUAUCCACUUGCAAUUUAUCAAUCCAAUUUAGACAACCUAGAAUCAAUUUGGACAACUUCUUCCUCUGUGUUUGUAAACUGUAUGUUUUGACUAUACCAAAAAUGUUGAGCGAUGAUUAAGAUGAUGAUUCGCCUAAAAAAUGCAGUGAGAAAAGGCGGAGGACGAUUGAGAAGAGGAGAUUGGCGACGAUAGCAACAGCCUCAUUGCCUCAAGUGGUGGUGGAGGAUCCAUGUCGUUUUCCUCUUUUUUUUUUGGUUUGAAUGUCAUGCUAGAGAGCUCACAACAAGGUGUUCAGUCAGUUGUGUAGAGGGCUGAUCCUUCAUCGAUAAUGGAUUGUGCAGGGGAUGAGGGGCGGGCAAAUGAUUUGGGGUUGGCGAGGUGGUUUGGGAGUUUAGAG
rnacentral:lncRNA from 1 species